UUCCAGGACUAGGACACGCGGCUUUGAGACCCACAGCCUCAGUGCUAGACGCGAGAGAGCAGAGCACUGAGUUCAGAAAAAGAUGUAUACACCUCCAGAGUUGAAGGGGGAGUAAGCAGAAUGGGAAGAAGAUCUGUGUGAGGAACAGGUAAGCCAUGGGGGUGUCUGUCGGUGAAAUACUGAACUCACUGGAAGACUAAUCACUGGUUUCAAGGAUCUCCAGGGCUCUUGACUAGUAGCUACACACAAAUUGUUCUAAUGAGAGGAUCUGGAAACAGAAUGUGUUUAUGAAGUUACAAAGAAAGAAAUGAAAAUAAUUCAUGAUAUAAGAAUUUUUAUUUCUAAGAGAAAAUUUAUUUCUAAUAUUCUGGGAUAUAUAACACUUUUCUAGCUGUAGAUUUCUUAGUAGACUGUUUCUUCCAUCUAAUUUACAAUUUAACAAAUUGACUCAAUACUUUUUUUUUUUUUUUGACCACAGUUCUGUAAUUUCAGGUAACCUGACUUUUCUUGGACUCAGUUUCCUUGUUUUGCCAUAUGGUAUGCCCUAUGUAAAUGUAAAAUGUUAUCUUUAUUGUCUGGCAAAAAUAUAAAGAAGUGUUAAGUCCCUAGUAUGAUUUAUGGAAUUUUAAAAUAAAUAAUGGUUUUAAGUAUCUGAGGUAAGUUGUUCUGGGGAGGCAGAUAAAUCACUAGCCUAAUUUUCCAACAUCAUAGCCUUAUCUAUCAUAUUUUUAAGACUAAAAGAUUUUUAAGACUAAAAGAUUUUUAUUUGAAAUGGAUGGAGGAUGGGGGGAAAGAGAAAGAGAGAAAGAGAAAGAAAUCGAGAUCUUUCAUCUGCUGGUUUACUCCUAAAAUGCCUGCAAUAGCUGGGACUGGGCCAGGCUGAAACUUGGAGACUGGAGACUCAAUCUCCCUUGUGGUGUGUCUGGCACCUAAGUACUUGAGCCAUCACCUAGAAUCAGAAGCAGAACUAGAACUUGAACCAGGCACUCUGAUAUGGGAUGCAGGUGUUGCAAGUGGCAUCUUUAGCCACAAAUGGCAUCUUUAACCAAAAAACCUAUCUCCUGUAUUAUAAUUUUAAGAUUACGUUUACCCAUCCAAGUUCACAUAGGAAAAUAUGCAGUCAUGUUUGACACGAUAUCCUUCCAUUUCCUUUUCCUCGGUAAUUCUUGGCUAUUUUUGUUCUACUAUAAUGAAGCUUCAUCUUCCCUCAUCCCUAUCUUUGGUCCAUCAGAUUCUCACUGUCUGGCAUGAACAUUUUGUAGAUGAAUUUCUGGCUGCUGAAAUCUAGGCCUGUGAGCCAUGCUGGAUCCUGUUUAUAACUGGUAGACAUAUUUCCUUUGUGCACUUACUUCAUGUCAUUUCUUAGCUUGCAGUGCUGUGCUUCCUGUUUUUUUUUUUUUUUUUUUUUUUUUUUUUUUUUUCCCCCAUAUCACAGGUUUGGCUAGUCAGGCCCAGAGCAUUCUGCGUAGUGUUAUUUGAGACCAUUUUGCUCUUUCUGUCUGACAAGUCUGUCACCUGUGCCCCACAACAUGAUCUAAUUUAAUCAACCCAGAGUAUCUUGAAAUUGGUCCUUCCUACUGAUGACACUUGAGAUGCUUUUUAUUUUGAUGGUGCAUGAAUAAACUUCAACAAUGUGUAUAUUUAAUAGGAAGGAGAAAAAUAUGCAUGUUUCAGUAUAUAGUUUGAUCAGUUUCUAUUGCUUAGACUAUUAAAGAUUUAAAAAAUAUUAACUUCAAUGUUAAGUAAUAUGAUCAACUGAAAUACAUAAAAAGAAUGAUGGAACAUUCUGGGGGCAGAUUCUCUCUCCUGGUACCAAUUUCACUUCAGAAUUCUCCAUAGAGUCAACAGUGCCAAAUCUGGAAAGACAUAGGAGAAUAAAGACAGCAAAUAGGGGCUGGCAUUGUGGCGCAGCAGUUUAAGCUGCCGCCUGUGAUGCCAACAUCACAUAUGAAUGCUGGUUCAAGUCCUAGCUACUGUACGUCUGAUCCAGCUCCCUGGCAGUGUGCCUGGGAAAGCCGCAGAAGAUAGACCAAGUAACUGGGCCCUGCCACCCACGUGGGAGACUGAUGGAGUUCCUGGUUUCCGGCUCUAGCCUGGUAUACCUGGGUGUUGUACCAUUUGGCGAGUGAACCAACAGAUGAAGUAUCUCUUGGUGUCUCUAUCUCUCUGUCUCUCUCUCUCUCUGAUUCUGCCUUUUAAACAGCUAAAUCUUAAAGCAAACAAAAGCUGUUGGUUUUGAGCAACAGUGGUGAUACAUGAACACAAAAUUUCAUUGAAUGGUGAAUGUGGGAGUUGAGUGGCUAUCUGUGGGCUGUUGCUUCUUUGAAUGGUUAAGAGAGAGAUGCUGAAGAGACAACCUAGGGAGCAGUGGUACCCAGGCAAGCAGCAUCCUCCUGAAGACUGGACAAGUAUGCCUAAAGGAGAAACUCUGCUCACUGAGAAACACCAGGGUGGCAGACAUCUUUAGCUCUUCUGUCUUCUGAUGCUACCACCACUCCUUGCUUUUCUGUUGUUAUCAUGCAUGAUCUGGAUUCUCUGAGUGGAGGCCAGGGUCCAGACGCUAGCCUAGAUUAGGCAGGGUGUGCAAAUAGAUAUGGGAGGCAAAAAAAUGUACUGUGGGCAGUUGAAGCUUGUCUGAUGCCUUUCUUUAUACCGGAAAAACUAGUCCUAGAGUACUUUGAGGAAGAAAACCAAAGUGGCAAUUAAUGUUAUUUAUCCUCCUCCCACUCCAUAAAUAUAGGCUUUCCUCAGGGUUAAAUCAUCGGAUGUUUAUUAUUUUUCCCUUGUCCUUUUCCCCCAGGCUUCUCCUGAAUUCCCACGUCCCCUGUGCAUGUGCCUGGCGGUGUGUCAGUCCAGUGAUCUCACUGUCUUUGAGAUUUCCUUCCCUCUUCCCUUGGAAUUAAAUUCAUCAAUUCUGAAGCCAGUUUUUACCAACAGUUAGUGGUUUCUUAUAAAAUUAGGCAACCAGUGCUUUAGCUUGUUAUCAGACAAGAGAGGAAAUUCAACUGAAGGCAUGUCUGAGCAUAAACUGAUCUGGGCGUUGGAUGUCAAGUUCUUGUUUCAGCUCUGCUCUUCACAAGCUGGGUGUUGUGCAACUUGGUUUUGUCAUCAGUAAUGUGAAGGGGUGGAACCAGAACAAGCCAUAGUUCCCAGCAGCUUAAUGAGACUGAAGGAUGACUUUUGGUUCAUUUUAAGAGUAUAAUGUGUUACUUCCAUGGAUAUAUGGGCAGCAAGUGCAUCUGAUUUAAAAGUUCAUUUAAGAGAUACAUGAUUAGGUUUACUCCAACUACUUAACAGCAUUCUGGGUGUUGAGGGGGAAAAAGUAACUAGUGUUGCCAGUUCCUGGUUUGAAUGAAAAAUGGGCAUUAUUUUGAGAAGUUGGGACAAGAAAGAGGUAAUGAGGUUUGGCAGAUGAAGGUGGGUUGCUUAUCUACCAAAACAUAGACUUUGCACAUUAGUUAAUGAAUAAUAGUAUUUCGCAGUUUGGCUUCAAGAAAAUCUAAACAAAACCACUUGGACAUUUCAAGCUGAGAUUUGAAGAAAUCUGGCAACUUAUUCUCCCACGUCGGAGGAUUUUAUGUUUAUAUUUUGGCAUGUAAAGCUCCACCUCCUGCUCAAUGCUUUUCGUUUAGAAACUCACAAAAUUAUAAGUCUGACUGUUCCAUUUCCAGGCAGUGCUAGUAAACUUUCCAUGUUUUCAGAGUUUUCCACAGAUCUGAAUAGCACUUGGUCUGAUGGUAAACUGCAUUCAUGUGUGUGAUGGGAAGAGUUUGUAGCCUCUAUUUUUCUUCUCAGAGGAAGUGUAGCAUUUAACUUUAGGAUGCACACAGUGUAUUCUGCUUGUGCAUCUGGCCAUUUUGCUUGACAGGUUAGAAAUAUGCUGUGGAAUUUUCAAAUGUCACUAGGAGUUAUUUCUAAAUUUUGAAUCUUGAAAUGAGAUAUUUUAUGAAAAUCCUUUAUAUUCUGGAACUUAGAAUUUUGCAGAUCAUUUAUUGCAGACCUCUUUACCAUGAGGCUAUUCCAAUCUUGAUGCUCAGACUACACAUCAGUUCUUAAGCAACAUGACUCAGAAGGGUUUAUUUCAAGAAUAAGAAACAUUGUCUAACUUUCUGGCUGAAAAUAAGUAUCUUCUCUUUCUGUAUUGUGUCUUCCAUUUCCAAAAAUAAAUUUUAAUGAAUACUUGGGGAGCAAAAAGAACAAAGCUGGAGGCAUACCAUAUCUGACUUCAAAAUAUAUUACAAAGCUAUAGUAAUCAAAACAGCAUACUGACCAGAAAAUAAAUACAGACCAAUGGAACAGAACAGAGCCCAUUAAUAAAUCCAUGAACUUAUGGUCAGUUGAUUUUUGCGAAGAACCCACAAUACAUCAUGAACAGUUUCAUCAAUAAAUGGCAUCUGCGUUACUGUAUUUUUUUUUUUUUUAAGAUUGAUUGAUUUAUUUGAAAGAGUUACACAGUGAGGGAAGGAGAGGCAGAGAGAAAGAGAGAGGUCUUCCAUCUGCUGGUUCACUCCACAACUGACCUCAGUGGCUGGAGCUGCGCCCACCUGAAGACAGGAGCCAAGAGCUUCCUCCGGGUCUUCCCAUGUGGGUGCAAGGGCCCAAGGACUCAGGCCGUCUUCCACUACUUUCCCAGGCCAUAGCAGAGAGCUGGAUCCAAGUUGAGUAGCAAGUUCUCAAACCAUGCCCAUAUGGAAUGCGGGCACUUCAGGUGGUGUCUUUACCCACUAUGCCACAGCGCUGGCCCCAACAUUACUGUAUUUCUGCCUGCCAAAGAGGGUAGUUAGAUCCUUACCUUACAUUAUAUAAAAAAUUAACUAAAAAUGGAUUAAAGUUUAAAUGUAACAACUAUAAAAACUACUGGAAGAAAAUAUGGGUGGGUUGGUAUUGUGGUGCAGUGGGUUAAAGCCCUGGCCUGCAGUGCUAGCAUCCCAUAUGGGUGCUGGUUCGAGUCCUGGCUGGUCCACUUCCAAUCCAGCUCCUGCUAAUGUGCCUGGGAAAGCAGUGGAGGAUGGCUCAAAUGCUUGGGCCCCUGCACCCACAUGGGAGACCUGGAGGAAGCUCCUGGCUCCUGGCUUCGGAUUAGCUCAGCUCUAGCUGUUGUAGCCAUUUUGGGGGUGAACCAGCGGAUGGAAGACCUCUGUCUGUUUCUGCCUCUCUCUGCAACUCUUUCAAAUAAAUAAAAUAAUUUUUCUUAAAAAAGAAAAUAUGGGUGAAAAAGCUCUCUGCCAUUUAUCUGGGCAAUGAUUUUUUUUGGUUAUGAUCCUCAAAACACAAAUAAUAAAAUGAAAAAUAGAAAAUGAUAUAAUUAUUUUAAUUAAUAUUUAAUUAAAUAAGUAAUUUUAAAUAAAUUAAUGUAGAUUAAAUUAAAAUUUAAUUUAUAAGAAAAAUAGAAUAAUCCCUGGUAAAGAUAAGGAAAAAAGGGAACCUUUGUUUGCUGUCGAUAGACAAUACAAACUAGUAUAACUAUAAUGGAAAAAAAAGUGGAAGUGCUUCACAAAAACUAAAAAUGAAACUACCAUAUGAUCCAGCAGUGCCCCUACUGGGUAUACAGUCAAAAGAAAUGAAAUCAGGAGCCGGCACUAUGGCAUAGUGGGUAAAGCUGCCGCCUAUCGUGCCAGCAUCUCUUAUGGGCACCGGUUCAAGUCCUGGCUGCUCCUCUUCUGAUCCAGCUCUCUGCUGUGGCCUGGGAAAGCAGUGGAAUAUAGCCCAAGUCCUUGGGCCCCUGCACCCACAAGGGAGACUCACAAGAGGCUCCUGGCUCUGGCCGUUGUGGCUAUUUGGGGGAAUGAAUCAGCAGAUAGAAGAUUCAUUCUCAUUCUCAUUCUCAUUCUCAUUCUCAUUCUCAUUCUCAUUCUCAUUCUCUCUCUCUCUUCCUCUCUCUCUCUCUUCCUCCCUCUCUCCCUCCCUCUCUCUUUACUUCUGCCUCUCUGUAACUCUGACUUUCAAGUAAAAUAAAGAAAUCAGUAUGUCAGAGAGAUAGAACCAUUUCCAAUUUCAUUGUAGCAUUAUUCACAAUAGUCAAGAUAAAGAAUCAAACUCUUAUCACUGAAUUAAUGGAGAAAAUAUGGAAUACAUGCAUAAUGGAAAACUACUAAACCAUGAAAAAUAAUUAUAUCUUGCCAUUUAUGACAAUGUGGUUGAACCUGGAAGUUAUUAUAGUAAGUGAAGUAAG